rnacentral:misc_RNA from 1 species
UAAUACGGUCCUCCUCGUCGGACGGAAAGCCCAACGGACAAGUCUGAUGAAUGUGGACCUGAUGAAGAGCCAGACCGAACAGAGCUCCGGCUGCGUACCUUUGCAUUGGCGUCAAUGUUGAGGACGACAUCGUUUUUGUUCCAAAAGAAAACAAGUUAUCAAGUUGUUGUUUUUUUUCUGUGAGAUGGAGGAAUAGCAUUCAAGUAUCAAGUUAUAAAUGAAAUGAAAAAGUAUUCAGUAUUUCAG